rnacentral:rRNA from 1 species
AGGGUUCGAUUCUGGCUCAGGAUGAACGCUGGCGGCGUGCUUAACACAUGCAAGUCGAACGGGAUCCAGGCAGCUUGCUGCCUGGUGAGAGUGGCGAACGGGUGAGUAAUGCGUGACCGACCUGCCCCAUACACCGGAAUAGCUCCUGGAAACGGGUGGUAAUGCCGGAUGCUCCGACUCCUCGCAUGGGGUGUCGGGAAAGAUUUCAUCGGUAUGGGAUGGGGUCGCGUCCUAUCAGGUAGUCGGCGGGGUAACGGCCCACCGAGCCUACGACGGGUAGCCGGCCUGAGAGGGCGACCGGCCACAUUGGGACUGAGAUACGGCCCAGACUCCUACGGGAGGCAGCAGUGGGGAAUAUUGCACAAUGGGCGCAAGCCUGAUGCAGCGACGCCGCGUGCGGGAUGACGGCCUUCGGGUUGUAAACCGCUUUUGAUCGGGAGCAAGCCUUCGGGUGAGUGUACCUUUCGAAUAAGCACCGGCUAACUACGUGCCAGCAGCCGCGGUAAUACGUAGGGUGCAAGCGUUAUCCGGAAUUAUUGGGCGUAAAGGGCUCGUAGGCGGUUCGUCGCGUCCGGUGUGAAAGUCCAUCGCUUAACGGUGGAUCCGCGCCGGGUACGGGCGGGCUUGAGUGCGGUAGGGGAGACUGGAAUUCCCGGUGUAACGGUGGAAUGUGUAGAUAUCGGGAAGAACACCAAUGGCGAAGGCAGGUCUCUGGGCCGUUACUGACGCUGAGGAGCGAAAGCGUGGGGAGCGAACAGGAUUAGAUACCCUGGUAGUCCACGCCGUAAACG